AGUGAACGCUGGCGGUAGGCCUAACACAUGCAAGUCGAACGGCAGCACAGUAAGAGCUUGCUCUUACGGGUGGCGAGUGGCGGACGGGUGAGGAAUACAUCGGAAUCUACUUUUUCGUGGGGGAUAACGUAGGGAAACUUACGCUAAUACCGCAUACGACCUACGGGUGAAAGCAGGGGAUCUUCGGACCUUGCGCGAUUGAAUGAGCCGCUGUCGGAUUAGCUAGUGGGCGGGGUAAAGGCCCACCAAGGCGACGAUCCGUAGCCGGUCUGAGAGGAUGAUCAGCCACACUGGAACUGAGACACGGUCCAGACUCCUACGGGAGGCAGCAGUGGGGAAUAUUGGACAAUGGGCGCAAGCCUGAUCCAGCCAUACCGCGUGGGUGAAGAAGGCCUUCGGGUUGUAAAGCCCUUUUGUUGGGAAAGAAAAGCAGCAGGUUAAUACCCCGCUGUUCUGACGGUACCCAAAGAAUAAGCACCGGCUAACUUCGUG
rnacentral:rRNA from 1 species